rnacentral:rRNA from 1 species
GAUGAACGCUGGCGGCGUGCUUAACACAUGCAAGUCGAACGAAGCACUUUAUUUGAUUUCUUCGGAAUGAAGAUUUUGUGACUGAGUGGCGGACGGGUGAGUAACGCGUGGGUAACCUGCCUCAUACAGGGGGAUAACAGUUGGAAACGACUGCUAAUACCGCAUAAGCGCACAGGGUCGCAUGACCUGGUGUGAAAAACUCCGGUGGUAUGAGAUGGACCCGCGUCUGAUUAGCCAGUUGGUGGGGUAACGGCCUACCAAAGCGACGAUCAGUAGCCGACCUGAGAGGGUGACCGGCCACAUUGGGACUGAGACACGGCCCAAACUCCUACGGGAGGCAGCAGUGGGGAAUAUUGCACAAUGGGGGAAACCCUGAUGCAGCGACGCCGCGUGAGCGAAGAAGUAUUUCGGUAUGUAAAGCUCUAUCAGCAGGGAAGAAGAAAUGACGGUACCUGACUAAGAAGC